GGGUUGUGAGGUUAAGCGACUAAGCGUACACGGUGGAUGCCCUGGCAGUCAGAGGCGAUGAAGGACGUGCUAAUCUGCGAUAAGCGUCGGUAAGGUGAUAUGGACCGUUAUAACCGGCGAUUUCCGAAUGGGGAAACCCAGUGUGAUUCGUCACACUAUCAUUAACUGAAUCCAUAGGUUAAUGAGGCGAACCGGGGGAACUGAAACAUCUAAGUACCCCGAGGAAAAGAAAUCAACCGAGAUUCCCCCAGUAGCGGCGAGCGAACGGGGAGGAGCCCAGAGCCUGAAUCAGUGUGUGUGUUAGUGGAAGCGUCUGGAAAGGCGCGCGAUACAGGGUGACAGCCCCGUACACAAAAAUGCACAUAUUGUGAGCUCGAUGAGUAGGGCGGGACACGUGGUAUCCUGUCUGAAUAUGGGGGGACCAUCCUCCAAGGCUAAAUACUCCUGACUGACCGAUAGUGAACCAGUACCGUGAGGGAAAGGCGAAAAGAACCCCGGCGAGGGGAGUGAAAAAGAACCUGAAACCGUGUACGUACAAGCAGUGGGAGCCUCUUAAUGGGGUGACUGCGUACCUUUUGUAUAAUGGGUCAGCGACUUAUAUUCUGUAGCAAGGUUAACCGAAUAGGGGAGCCGAAGGGAAACCGAGUCUUAACUGGGCGUUAAGUUGCAGGGUAUAGACCCGAAACCCGGUGAUCUAGCCAUGGGCAGGUUGAAGGUUGGGUAACACUAACUGGAGGACCGAACCGACUAAUGUUGAAAAAUUAGCGGAUGACUUGUGGCUGGGGGUGAAAGGCCAAUCAAACCGGGAGAUAGCUGGUUCUCCCCGAAAGCUAUUUAGGUAGCGCCUCGUGAAUUCAUCUCCGGGGGUAGAGCACUGUUUCGGCAAGGGGGUCAUCCCGACUUACCAACCCGAUGCAAACUGCGAAUACCGGAGAAUGUUAUCACGGGAGACACACGGCGGGUGCUAACGUCCGUCGUGAAGAGGGAAACAACCCAGACCGCCAGCUAAGGUCCCAAAGUCAUGGUUAAGUGGGAAACGAUGUGGGAAGGCCCAGACAGCCAGGAUGUUGGCUUAGAAGCAGCCAUCAUUUAAAGAAAGCGUAAUAGCUCACUGGUCGAGUCGGCCUGCGCGGAAGAUGUAACGGGGCUAAACCAUGCACCGAAGCUGCGGCAGCGACACUAUGUGUUGUUGGGUAGGGGAGCGUUCUGUAAGCCUGUGAAGGUGGCCUGUGAGGGUUGCUGGAGGUAUCAGAAGUGCGAAUGCUGACAUAAGUAACGAUAAAGCGGGUGAAAAGCCCGCUCGCCGGAAGACCAAGGGUUCCUGUCCAACGUUAAUCGGGGCAGGGUGAGUCGACCCCUAAGGCGAGGCCGAAAGGCGUAGUCGAUGGGAAACAGGUUAAUAUUCCUGUACUUGGUGUUACUGCGAAGGGGGGACGGAGAAGGCUAUGUUGGCCGGGCGACGGUUGUCCCGGUUUAAGCGUGUAGGCUGGUUUUCCAGGCAAAUCCGGAAAACCAAGGCUGAGGCGUGAUGACGAGGCACUACGGUGCUGAAGUAACAAAUGCCCUGCUUCCAGGAAAAGCCUCUAAGCAUCAGGUAACAUCAAAUCGUACCCCAAACCGACACAGGUGGUCAGGUAGAGAAUACCAAGGCGCUUGAGAGAACUCGGGUGAAGGAACUAGGCAAAAUGGUGCCGUAACUUCGGGAGAAGGCACGCUGAUAUGUAGGUGAAGCGACUUGCUCGUGGAGCUGAAAUCAGUCGAAGAUACCAGCUGGCUGCAACUGUUUAUUAAAAACACAGCACUGUGCAAACACGAAAGUGGACGUAUACGGUGUGACGCCUGCCCGGUGCCGGAAGGUUAAUUGAUGGGGUUAGCGGUAACGCGAAGCUCUUGAUCGAAGCCCCGGUAAACGGCGGCCGUAACUAUAACGGUCCUAAGGUAGCGAAAUUCCUUGUCGGGUAAGUUCCGACCUGCACGAAUGGCGUAAUGAUGGCCAGGCUGUCUCCACCCGAGACUCAGUGAAAUUGAACUCGCUGUGAAGAUGCAGUGUACCCGCGGCAAGACGGAAAGACCCCGUGAACCUUUACUAUAGCUUGACACUGAACAUUGAGCCUUGAUGUGUAGGAUAGGUGGGAGGCUUUGAAGUGUGGACGCCAGUCUGCAUGGAGCCGACCUUGAAAUACCACCCUUUAAUGUUUGAUGUUCUAACGUUGGCCCCUAAUCGGGGUUGCGGACAGUGUCUGGUGGGUAGUUUGACUGGGGCGGUCUCCUCCUAAAGAGUAACGGAGGAGCACGAAGGUUGGCUAAUCCUGGUCGGACAUCAGGAGGUUAGUGCAAUGGCAUAAGCCAGCUUGACUGCGAGCGUGACGGCGCGAGCAGGUGCGAAAGCAGGUCAUAGUGAUCCGGUGGUUCUGAAUGGAAGGGCCAUCGCUCAACGGAUAAAAGGUACUCCGGGGAUAACAGGCUGAUACCGCCCAAGAGUUCAUAUCGACGGCGGUGUUUGGCACCUCGAUGUCGGCUCAUCACAUCCUGGGGCUGAAGUAGGUCCCAAGGGUAUGGCUGUUCGCCAUUUAAAGUGGUACGCGAGCUGGGUUUAGAACGUCGUGAGACAGUUCGGUCCCUAUCUGCCGUGGGCGCUGGAGAACUGAGGGGGGCUGCUCCUAGUACGAGAGGACCGGAGUGGACGCAUCACUGGUGUUCGGGUUGUCAUGCCAAUGGCACUGCCCGGUAGCUAAAUGCGGAAGAGAUAAGUGCUGAAAGCAUCUAAGCACGAAACUUGCCCCGAGAUGAGUUCUCCCUGACUCCUUGAGAGUCCUGAAGGAACGUUGAAGACGACGACGUUGAUAGGCCGGGUGUGUAAGCGCAGCGAUGCGUUGAGCUAACCGGUACUAAUGAACCGUGAGGCUUAACCUUACAACGCCGAAG
rnacentral:rRNA from 1 species